AAGAAGUGCAAAAACUAUAUUAAACAUCUAUCUCAAAAAGGUAUUGUUUUACAUUUUCAUUAUUUAAAAAUACAAUAAGUGAAUAUUAAUGCUAAAUAUUAUAAUAAGUAAAUAUAAAAUAUAAGAAAGAAUAAAUAAUAAGUAAAUAUAAUAUAUAAGAAAUAAAAAAUAUUACAUUAAAUACAUAGCGUAAUAUUAUCAUUGAUAUAAAAACAAGAAAUUUAGAAUAAGUAAAUAUAAAAAAAAAAAAAAAGAUAAACAGUAAGUAAAUAUACAAUAUAAAAAAUGGAAAAACUAAAUUAAAUAUUUAUCUGAAAAAUAUAUAGUUAAAUGAAAAAUGUAUAUUUAAAUAAAUAAUAAGCGAAUAUACAGUAUAAGAAAUAUAAAUAUUACAUUAAACAUCUAUCGUAAUAUUAUCAUUUGAUUUAAAAACAAGAAAAUUAGAAUAAAUAAAUAUACAAUAUUGAAAAAUUCCCUUGGAUAGCCAUUUUUAAGUUUUUGCUACAAAAUAGCUAUAAAUGAGAAAAAUAAUCAAAAUAAGUCUUAUUAAAGAGUAAAAAUACAUUUAUACCCUAUGGUUAACUAACAUAGACUUAUGGUUUAGAGUUAAGGGGUGGGAUUUUGAGGAUAGGAUUUCAAAUUUUUAAAAAUAAAAAUUAAAAAAUUAAAUUUUUUAAAAUAAAAGAGACUAUUUUGGUCACUUUCUUUAUUGAAUACUAUUUUGUGACAAAAAACUUAAAAGAUCUAUUUGAGAGAAUUGUCUUACAAUAUAAGAAAAAAAAAAUAAUAAGUAAAUAUACAAUAUAAGAAAGGAAAAACUAUAUCAAACAUCUAUCUAAAAAAUGUAUAGUUUUCUGAUUUUUUCUAAAGAAAUAUGUAUUCACACAUACAUACAAUUCAGAAUUUGUUGUUGUUCAGAAUACAACGUUCAAAAAAAUAACUAUAUGGUUAACAUUUGAAAAUGAAAAUAGCCCCGCACGUAGCACGGAUUAACUCCUAGUCUUUAUAUAUAAAAGAUGUUUUGCUCUCUCCUGAGGCUGCCACCUAGGAUUCCACUUAGGAAAGUCGCUUCACGAGGAGUCAACACGUGUCCGCCUGCUCGAAACACAGCGUUUCAUUAAAGGAAUCAGCGAUCCAUAUGGGCUAAGUUUGUGUGUGGGCUUUUUUUAAUUUGGCACAAGAAAAGCAGCCCGAUAGCAGUCAACCCUAAUAGCACAAUGUUCAUCUCCGUUCUUUGUUCUUCGUCAUCUGAUCUUCUUUUUCAUCGACCAAAAACGUUACCAGUUACAGAUUCGUCUCAUUAAACCUCUUCUUAACUCCAUCAACCACGAUCUGGUCUUGAAUGUGAACUUCUCUUCUCCGAGGCGGUGUCACUGCGAAUAUAAAAAGUUAAGCCUUCCUCUUAUCAAAACCAUCUUCUCGAUCUGUUGAACCAACAAAGUAAAGUUAUUUUCACAUAAAUGGCUAACUCGAAAGUUCUUAUUUCUAAUUUGAAAUCUGGUAAAUUUUCUUCUUCGGUUGAGGUUAGGUUGAUGCGUUGACUUCCUCUGCCUAGCAAAGGGAAACAUGAACGGUUAGUGGCUAAACUCAGUCAAUUCGUCUGGACUUCUUCUUAAAUCGUUUUGGGCGUCAAUAUGCUUCUCCUUGAAGCCAAGGUUGCUCCGGCGAUUUAGUAAACAAACUCAAGUUUUUUCUGUAAGAUUUACAAGUAACGUGAUCUUAAUUAAUUUGUGAUCUUAGUCAUACGAUGUUUGCUUCUUCAUUUUGUUAAGCUCCUCGGUCUUUUUAAUCUGACAAUGGCUCAAACAAAUGCAGAUGAUGAUUUAAAGUCAAAGUCUUUACAAGCUGAGUUUGGCGAAAAGAGGAGCUUUGGUCGCGGUUUCUGUAUUACAGUCAAGAGAUUGCAACAUAUAAAAAAAUUACUAAUGCUCUGCUUCAUAGAAGGUAUGAAGCUACAUAUGGAGAAAUUCAAUGAUGGUAUUGUACUAAGAUAAAGGCUCCUUAGUAUAUUGAAACGAGAGUCUAUAGUGGGGACAUGUAAAGUUCCUAUGUUAUAAAUACCAUUUGAGUCAAAUAUCAUAUGUAAAUUUUUUCCUUGACUCGAUUUUAGUUUUCAACAAUGUUUUUGUUUUAAAAAAUAGAUUAUUGUAUGAUAGUUUUAAGCAAUCUGCAGGAUAUUAAUGAAGAAAACAAAUCUCAUCCAUGCCCAACAGAGUGGUUAUUCCGUGUUGAUAUUGUUAAUAAAUGGAAAGAGUCUAACGGUUUCAGUGCUGCCCAGAUGUUUAGAGAAUAUCAAGAUGUCUGAUAUGGCCUUACUGGUGAGAAGAGCAUUGUCUUUAAGCCAAUAUACUUUGUUUAUGGAUCUUCAAUAGAUUCUUUUGUGAAAAGGGGGAUUAGAAGUCUUUUGGUUCAAUGGAAAAUUAUCUCAGAAGUCCAGUGAGAAAGUGUUGAAGGAUGCAAUGAAACCAUCACAAAACAGUUCUGCUUAUGUCUAUGAAAGCUGGCGUCGAACUGAAUCUAACCGCUUCUUCACACGUCUUCUUAACGCGUAGGGCAGAAAAGAAUGGCAUGUGAAAGAAGCUUCAUUGUUAAAACCAGGUCACCUUCUACACUCCUGGGCGUGACAAGUCAGAUAAUAGGAAAACAAAAGCUUGCUACAUGUCUCUCUAAGGUAGUUUUGUUUCUUCCUGAAUUGGUCUAAACAAGCAGAAGAAGGCUAAGGGAAACCGGAACAUUAUCUUCUGGUUGGACACAGAAGGUAAACCAAAUCAAUUUUUUAACCAUCUGAACUUUUUUUUCUAAUCAAACUGGUUUUACUUAACGGGGUUAUGAUUUUGUUGUAAUAUCUUUAAGCGCUUGGAAUGCAUUGGAUUGUUUGGUGCAAGAAAAUUUUAUGUAUAAGAAACCAGAGGAGAAGAAGGUGGUCAAGUAAAGUGAUGGAAGAUCUAACUCCAUUAAUGGAGCUAUAAUAGGAGGAAGCUUUAUGCUUGGAUCAACAAGUCUCCACCCAUAAAUGUAGACAAGACAAUCAGUUUUUUUUUUUUUGCAAUUAUUAUUUGUUCCCAAUAGUCCAAAAACUACCGUUGAUGAAGUCUUUUUCUUUUGUAUUUCUCAUUCACUAUAAAUAAAAAUUUCAAAUCUCUUCUUGAUUUUGCCUUUAUGUGAUAGAUUAAAACAAAAGAUUUUGUUUGGUAUGUACAAGCAAAUGUUACUUUUAUGUUAGUUUCGACUGCGAUUAGCGUCUGAUGUUGUUUGAAAUGUCAAUUUGAUCUCUUUCUUUUGCAAUGGUGCAACUGAGAAGUUUCAUGCAGGCAUAAAAGUAUUCAAAUCUGUUUUAAAUUUGUGGCCAAUAUAGUGGAUAUUUACUCUUGGAUAUAGAGGAACUCUAUUAUAGAAGUAUACAUUAGAGCAAAUCCACCUCUAUAAUAGAGAUCUCUAUUUUAGAGGAAAAUAUAGAGAUAUACAUUGGAGAUGCUCUAAUAUAGUGGAUAUUUACUCUUGGGUUGCAAUAGCUAAUGUGAUUCACGAUAUUGGUUGCAAAGGGAACAAUGGUACAUGAUCAAGCAACGGGCUAUUGGUGGCCACGAGCCACAUGAGCCACGUUAGUUGAAUCAGUGAUUUUACAUAAAUUUUUUUGAAGUGUGAUUUUACAAGUUUCUGAAUAUUAAUAUUACGUUUGAAUCAUUGGAAAAUGGUAAUAAUUUUCAUGAGAUUAACAGAGCAUAAACCCAUAUGAAAUUAAGUUGUGAGGGUUUUAGGAAAAUUGGAUAUUUAGUUCCAAAAUAGAGCAACGAUAUUAAGAUUUUUUUUUUUUGUUAAAGAACAAUGUUAAGAUUUGUUAUCAUAUAAAUAUAUGUACUAAUAGUGUUGUCAUAUAAACAUAUGUACUUAUAGCAAAUCACACUUCAAAAAUGUUCAAUUGUAUCAAAAAUGAUAGGAUACAUAUUUAUUUGUGUAUGUACAUGACUUUUAUCGUAUCUCCCUUCAAAACUAUAGUAUGCAAUAAUGCUGACUUUCAUUUUACUAUUGAACAAACUUCCAAAUACGUUCCAACUAAAAACUCUAACAAUGUGAUUUCACCAUUUAUUUAUAAUAUCCCAUAAAAUAAAAUAAUAAAAUCAAAAAGAACUAAAAAAUAUCCUAACAAACAAUGAUUUUAAACUCAUUUUCAAAUGGAAAUAAUGUUUCAUAAGCUCAAACCAACGAAAAGAUCUAAUCUCACAAAUAUUUUUUUUUUGUGUUACCAAACUCAAAAACAAAAAAAAUAAUAUGAAAAUUAAUGGAAAAGCAAAAUGAGCAAUUAUACAUAAUCAAACAUAUAGUUAAAAAAGAGUAACACUAUCUAAUAAAUAAAAUAAAAUACAAAUAGCAUACAUAUUACUAUCUCCCAAAUAUCAACACACUUUUAAAUAAAGCAAAAUGGCAUCGUAACAUCGUCUCUUGCAUUUUUUAAUUAAAGAAAUUAAUUACAAAGUUUUGACGAACCGCAAUACACAAGAAAUCUAAAAAUAACAUAUGAUAAUGGAUUACCUCAAAUAAAUAAAUUUAAAAAAAAAAAGAAAAUACAUCGUCGCAAUAAAGAUAAAAUAUUAUAUCAUUCCAAGAAUCACAACAAUAUAAUUAUGCAAUUUGGUCAACAACAGCUAAUUCAGCUCUCGAUAUCAUUAGAUAUUAUAUAAAUAA